AAGUGGUGGGGAUUGAUCACAGCUUUCUCGAAGUACAUUUAUAUCGUGAUAUCGUGGACAUACGUAUACAUACGUAUACCCUUUUAAAGGACACAAGGAAAUCGAUUAACUUAUACACAAAUACACAAAAUGCCUUACUGUUGUGUAAUGAAAUGUUCCAACUCGUGGAAAACGGGACAUUCACACAAUGCAUCGCCUACCAAGAAAUAUUGAAAGAAAACAAUAUUGGCUUGCAAAUAUAGAAAGAAAUAAUAUAGAUGUUACAAAAGACUGGUUUGUAUGCGAGGUACAUUUCUCACCUGAAAUGUGGGAAAAACCACGAAUAGAUGGGAAAAAGAAAUUAAAAUAUAAUGCAAUACCUACCA